rnacentral:lncRNA from 10 species
AAGUGGGUCCCUGACCCCUGACCCCUGACCCCCGAGCAGCCUAACUGGGAGGCACCCCCCCAGUAGGGGCAGACUGACAACUCACACGGCCGGGUACUCCUCUGAGACAAAACUUCCAGAGGAACGAUCAGACAGCAGCAUUCGCGGUUCAUGAAAAUCUGCUCUUCUGCAGCCACCGCUGCUGAUACACAGGGAAACAGGGUCUGGAGUGGACCUCUAGCAAACUCCAACAGACCUGCGCUGAGGGUCCUCUCUGUUAGAAGGAAAACUAACAAACAGAAAGGACAUCCA